rnacentral:rRNA from 1 species
UCUUUCUUCUACCUCCGCAUGCCCUAAGCACAUUGAUCUCAUUUGAUUCUGGAAGCUAAGCAGGGUUGGGUCUGGUUGAUACUUGAAUGGGAGACCACCAGGGAUCGCCAAGCCAGGAAAGGC